AAUCCGGUUUGUUCUCAAUGCAUU
rnacentral:siRNA from 1 species